rnacentral:rRNA from 1 species
GAACGCUAGCGACAGGCCUAACACAUGCAAGUCGAGGGGCGAGCACAAGGAGCAAUCUGAGGUGGCGACCGGCGCACGGGUGAGUAACACGUAUGCAACCUGCCUGUAAGCGGGGAAUAACCCGUUGAAAGACGGACUAAUACCGCAUAAUACUAAAUUACUGCAUGGUAAUUUAUUUAAACAUUUAUGGCUUACAGAUGGGCAUGCGCAUGAUUAGCUAGUUGGAGAGGUAACGGCUCCCCAAGGCAACGAUCAUUAGGGGUUCUGAGAGGAAGGUCCCCCACACUGGUACUGAGACACGGACCAGACUCCUACGGGAGGCAGCAGUGAGGAAUAUUGGUCAAUGGACGAGAGUCUGAACCAGCCAAGUCGCGUGCAGGAAGAAUGUUCCCUAUGGAUUGUAAACUGCUUUUGCAGGGGAAUAAAGUGCAUCACGUGUGAUGUUUUGUAUGUACUCUGCGAAUAAGGAUCGGCUAACUCCGUGCCAGCCGCCGC